UGAGGGGCGGCUGUAGAGGUGGUAAGUUGUAGCCUUAUUUAUGGAGGAAAAUCCUUCUCCUUC
rnacentral:tRNA from 1 species